rnacentral:lncRNA from 1 species
GAGAAAGCAAACAUAGAGAUGCAACAAAUUAUAUCAGCCCAAAGUUUUCCUUAUGCCUAACUAAGGUCGACCCAUCUACUUUUCAUGUGGAAGAAGCACUGGAAGCCCUGAGAGAGUGAGGACAAAUGAGGGAAAUGGUCCCAACAAGUACUCAGUGAUGCUGUCAGGUUCAUAAUGUAUAGUCUCAUAAAGGAGCAGCACCUUUUCCUCCAACAAAGAGGAAGAGACAAAGGAAAAAAUAGAAGAAGAUAUGAAAGAGUCACAAUAAGACUUUGAGGUCCAGCUGGGCUAGAAUGGCAGGAUAUUGUGCCGAAAGACCGAAGAAACAACCCAGAGACUGCGAACGACCCAUAUAGGUUUAUUGGGUCCUACUUACAAGAACAUGUCCAGUGGCAGCCAGAAGGACAAAAGCACAAGACCAGGACCUGACCACAUAAUACCCAGGAGUAAUUUGCAAGUGUACUAUACCAAGCUCAAUGUCCAGAUCUCUUUAUUCUGCUCUGAAAGAACCAAGAAAAG